GUCUAAUUUAGCUAAUAAACCAAUAUUCAAAACGCUACCGUUUCGUCGUCAAAGGUCGCAUCAAAAAAGUGUUUCGUGCAUUCUUUGCGUGUGCGUCUGAAGAUGUCGUGUGCAAAGUUUGGUGUCGAUUGGUCAAGAAAUGUGGGAGGAGUAGGGAAAAAACUGUUUUGCGGUUUUCGCGAUUUUGCGAAAAAAAAAUUAUAGACGCAAAUGGGCGUGGCCUAUGCCAAAAGAUGCAGCAGACUCCAGUGAAUAUGUGGGUACAAGUUUUUGACUGUGGGAGGUUCGGUGUGGGAGUUAUAGCCCCAAACGCAUCUUUCCUUGGUAUAGCGCCA
ensembl:lncRNA